UGGAAUGUCAUGGUUUAUGUUUGUGUCCCCCAGGACUCAUGAGUUUGCAUUGUUCACAUGUGAUGGUUCAUUGUAUAGUGCUUGGAUUGAUGAUGUCAGUGCUUAACCCACAUAGGGGUGGAGCCAGGAUGUGAUGUAAUGGCAGGAAGAAGGUGUGUUUUUCUCUUUGCUGGUUUGAGUUUGCUGUGGGUGGCCGACAUGAACUGCGGUCCAGCCAUGCCCGCCUGUCUUGGAGCCAACUGAGUGUGGACUGAAACCUCCAAAAACUGGGCACCGACAUUUAAUCCAGAUGUUUGCUUGUGUCAGUAAAACUUUCUUCAUGUUGAGGUUUGAAUGAUUACUAGCUCAUCAACUCCAAGCAACUGCUUACAAACAGACUGAACAAACAGACAACUGAUAUAUGGACGGACUGAAGAACAUCUCAAA